rnacentral:rRNA from 1 species
AUUGAACGCUGGCGGGAUGCCUAACACAUGCAAGUCGAACGGAGUGGCGGACGGGUGAGUAAUGUAUGGGAACCUGCCUGAUGGAGGGGGAUAACUACUGGAAACGGUAGCUAAUACCGCAUACUAUCAGAUGAGCCUAGGUCGGAUUAGCUAGUUGGUGGGGUAAAGGUCUACCAAGGCAACGAUCCGGAACUGGUUUGAUAGGAUGACCAGUCACACUGGAACUGAGACACGGUCCAGAUGCCUACGGGAGGCAGCAGUGGGGAAUAUUGGACAAUGGGCGAAAGCCUGAUCCAGCCAUGCCGCGUGUAUGAUGAAGGCCUUCGGAUUGUAAAGCACUUUAAGUAGGGAGGCGUUACCAACAGAAUAAGCACCGGCUAACUUCGUGCCAGCAGCCGCGGUAAUUC